AGUAACUCGCUCGGGUCCCCUUCCGGAUUGUGGAAACUUUGUUCUUUCGCUGUAUGUAAUAACUCUUGCUACUGUAGCUCGCUUUUUGGGUCUACGCUGCUUCUAUAAGCUGUAACAUUCACAGGGAAGAUCUGCAGCUUCACUCCUGAGACCACGAGCCCACUGGAAAGAACAAACAACUCCCGAAGUGCUACCUUAUAGAGCUAUAACACUCACCGCGAAGGUCUGCAGCUUCACUCCUGAGCCAGGGAGACCACAAACCCACCAGAAGGAAAAAACUCCGAAUACAUCUGAACAUCAGGAGGGACAGACUCCAGACGGGCCACCUGAAAAGCUGUAACACUCACCGUGAGGGUCCGGGGCUUCAUUCUUGAAGUUAGUGAGACCAAGAACCCACCAAUUCGGGACACACUUGGACCAUCCGCUUCCCAGGAAGCGUCAGCCCUGGGGUGCCCAUGCCCAGAAGCCCACUCCAGCCCUGAUAGUCGCCUCCCAGCUGAGCCAGGAACCUGGGGCUGAGCUCCAUCCUCAACCUUAAAAACUUGUCAUCUCACCUGUCCCGAGGAUGUGCGGUACCUGCCCUACUUCUACCAUCCUCACCCUACUCUUUUCCUGGGCUAGCGUUAUGAUGUCUAAACCUAUCUAUCAUCCCGUUCUGUGCUCUGUAUAUUCAUUUUCCACAUAACGUAAAAUGUAGGUCUGGCUAAGCCCCCUCCACAUGGACAACGUGGGCCCUACUCUCCACAGACUCCAGCCACCUGCGACCCCUUCUGCCUCAUGCUACGUGUGAUCACAGCCUUUUCUCCUGUUGCUAUCCUGACCGAGAUGCUCCUCUAACAAGCUUGUCCACCCUUUCACACCCCUCAGCACACGCCCUGGCUUCAUAUGGCCGCCUGGUACCCUCCCUGCCGUUUCUGCCCAGAUCUGUUCUGUGCCCAGCAGGUGUUAUUGGCUUCAUCUACUUGCAGGUCUGUCCUUACUAACUGGAACACCCCCGAGGGCAGGAACGGUUUACCCCAGCAUGGAGCACAGUUCCGGGGCCCUAGGAGGAGCUCAGAGGACCUGUGGGAAAUGUUCCCAUGGGCAAUGACUCCCUGAAUGUAACGUCGUAUGUCACCUUGGAGGGAAAGACCCCAUAAAAACCUAAUCAUAUUCAAGGGAAAGGAGCUUGGCUUUCCUGGGUACAGCCUAAUGGUGUUGGUGACUGGGGUAGGAAGGGGACUCAGCUUCUAUUGUAUCAUGUUCUCGUCGAUUCCUCCUUAUCCUGACUGUGAGCCCGAGAGGGCAGGGACCAAGGUCCUAAUGUAUCCCAGCGGAGCGUACACAUAGUAGGUACCUACGUCGUGUUGGUUGACUGAAAGUCUUCUCACCCAGCAGGAGGCAGGCAGUGAUGAGGGGACC